rnacentral:tRNA from 1 species
GUUCAGUUGGUAAAACGCAAGGCUCUUAACCUUGUGGUCGUGGGUUCGAGCCCCAC